rnacentral:lncRNA from 1 species
CUGACAAAUACUGUUGCUAAUGGUCACAUAUACAUUGGGACUAAAUUUUCUCUGGCGUAGCUAGUCCAUUGAAAAUGAUUUGCUGUGACUUGCUCCUUGCUGUAGGUAAUAUCAUGGUCUCUAACUGAAAAGCAUUUAAAACUUUGUCAUAUGUUAUUAAGGCAUAUUUGCACUUAUGGGACUGUUCUUAAGAAAAUCAGAGCUUUUGUAACUGAGAUGGAAAUAAAAGCUAUUCUGCCAUGAUUUAAAUAGAAGAAAGAUAAUGUACAGAAGCCUUUUUUUUAGAGUUUCUAUUGACUGUAAAGUUACUUGAUACAGUUGGCCAGAGCUAAACUAUUCCUUAAUUUCAAUCCCUUUAAAAUGAGCUUUCCAUUAUAGCUCUACAUAUACAGAAUAGUGUUUAAAAUGAAAAACAUGUAAGAAGACUGUAUAUUAGGUUUUCUGAAAAUGUCUUUGUUUUUCUAACUUAUAGUGAUAAUUCAAAUUAGAGAUAUGCUAGUACAUUAUGAUCAUACCAAAAGGAAGAUUAGACUAAUAAGGUAAUAACAGUAGCAGCAAAAUUGCCUUUUCCUUCCUGCUCCCUUAUUUGAGGGGAAGACUGAAACAGGUACUUGGUUUAAACCACAUGGGAAAAAUACCUUUUCAGUUGCAAACUGACCUAUAUGUCUGAGCAAUGUAAACACAUCAUAUGACUGCCCCCGCCUCCCACAAGGGCUGAGUUCUUCCCUGUGUAAAUACUGCACGUGGGCACUAACAUCUAAGAGGUGGAGAGAUAAAGUCUGACAAACAUCCCUGGAGGACAGAUGUCUUCUCCCAGGGCCCAGGAUUCCAAGACAUAGAGGCAAUGUCAGCCUGUGGGGCUUUUGCAAUAGUGAAGGACCACUGCCACCUGGGGACAGCAGUAAGCAUCAACGCCGACAUGGUGCAGGCCAAAUGGAGCACCACACGCACUGUUGGUGACGAAUGAUGUGCGCAGAAGCUGGGCCACCUGCUGAUGCUGAUGGUCUAAAAAUCUCCCAACAGCGAGUGUUUUCAUGGGUACAUUUAUGGCCUGGGGUAAGGCUUUUUUCCCACAAAUCAAUAAUUAUCCUUGCAACCACACAAAAGAUAUGAUUAUCUUGUGUUAAUGUAAACAGGCAACUAGAUAACAUAGUUGUAAAUGGAUAAGAGCCAUAGGGGCAGGGAAUCGGAGACUAAACACCCUGCCUAGAGGCUUUCAAUUUUAUCAAGAAAUAUUUUUGGGGAAGACUGUACUCCAUUAAGCAGCACACAUUUGCAGCUCCAAUUCAGCCUGCAACCAUCUAGAACUGGAGGUCACUGGGUGGGUAUAAAGAUCCUUGGUGACAUUUGAGCACCUGGAACAAAAGUCUGAGAAUACUUAAUUCACUUAUUCACUGUAAAAUAUUUAUUGAAGGCUUGUUUUAUUUUAGGCAUCAUUCCAUAUUGAUAGACAAGUUAGGAAAAGAGAUAUUAAACAAAUAAUUACCCAAAUGGAGUUACAGUUAUGAUAAAUGCAAUGAAAAAAAUCCAAGGCAGCUACAUAACUAUAUGCUGUGUUUCAUAAAACUUGCUUGCUUAUAAAUCACAUAAAUAUUUUAUAUUCUACCGAGAGACAAAACCCUGCCAAUGAAACUACAGCCCUUUACUUUCUUUUUUCUAAGAAAUGAAUACCCUAUGCUUUUGAUACAUUUUACUUCAUACUUAUUGAAAGAGCUCAUUUUAGAUUUAUGACAUAGAUAUUUUAUCAUAUGUCAUUCUUGUACAUACAUAAGAAGGAAAGUAUAAAUUAAAUAAGAUAUCUCAUUGAAAGUUGAACUUUAUCACUUUUUGACUCAGGGUCCUUAAUAUCCAUACUUUUCUAUACAGAGUCAUUCAUCAGGAGAGUUGGGAGAAGUAUUUCUUAGAAGAAUGCUUCACUAUUGUCUAGAAUUUUCUCCCCAGCAUCUGACACUAAUUCUCAGAGUUUAGAUGCUGAUGCUUUCUUGACCUUACUAAAAGAUGUCAACACAAGCUUUUCAGAUGCUGACUAGGACUUCUACCCUUCCCUCCAGUGGUCCAGAAUGGUUUGUAAACUCAAAAGGCAAGGGGCUUCGGUUGUACUGCCAUGUUGUUAGGGCUCACAUGCACAUGUGCUGGCAUGACAGCCGUGUCACGACCUGACCUAUUGAGUUUGGAAGACCCUGUUGUUAAAAAGUCACAUAUAACUUCAGAGAUGUGAAAAUAUGCACAUAACAAAGAAUCAGUGAAAUAUAGUCCGUUAAUGUUCAGACCUGCUCUUCAGGACUAGAGACAUUCUCUUGCAGAAGGUGACAUUUACUGUCAGACCUGAAGACUAAGAAGUUAUCCAGCAUUGAAAAGAAAAAGUGUCAUACUAGUAGAGGCAAGACCAGAUUAUGGAGCAGACCAGAUGGACAGCUCAUCAGGCCACCAAAUUAUGGGAGUGCUUAUAGCAUUUCCAGAUUCAUAGUGAAAGUUGGUCCCUGCCAGCUCAGUUUCUACCUGCACCUUCUUAUCUUCCUAAAGAGAUGUAAGUAGGUCUCACUUUCACUGAAGCUGAGGGAGUUGUUGAGUGCAAAAGAGAACAAAAUAAGAUGAAGCCAUCCCUGGUUUGUUUCUUAUUACUACAACUAUCUCAAACUGGCAGUUGCGGUCAUCUGAAAUUCCAAAACCACAUCAUUCAUGGCAUAGAACAAGUGGCAGUCUUUGUGAUCUCCAUGUAAAACCCUUUUAACAUCCGGUCCCACUUCCUAGGAUAUUGUCUUGUUUGAUAAUUGACAAAAGAAAGCCAAGGAGAGACCAAAAAACUAGAGAAUAAAUGAAAAUAAUCCUUUUUUUUUCAAAAUAUCAUUUUGCUUCCUCAGGUGAAAUAAAUUGUAUAUUAAAUUUGUCCCUAUCAACAAUUUUUGUUGCUUGAAGAUUAGGUUCACCCAGUCUCAGCAGAUAUGUAUUGAACAAAUGUUUGAAGAAUCAAUGUUGGAAGGGGCUCCAGACUCCUGGUCUUCUAGGGAGUGGGUAUAUUUUGAGUGGGUGCUAGUCAGACUAGAACCAAGAGGUUUGCAAAUUCAUGGAACCAAAGGAAGGGCAGUGAAGCUGGGCAUGGUUUAGGAUGGAGGGGAUAGUGUGUGUGGAAAGGCUGGAGGCUGGUCCAGAGUCAUGCCGUAUAAAUUUUCUAUGAAGGAUUUUGGUCUUCAUGCCAAGGGCAUGUGGGAGUUAUUGAAAGUGUUUUGAUCAGUGAAAUGCUAUGAUCAUAUUUGCAUCCUCUCUCUGGCUGCAAGGAAGCAGAUGGAUUGUUGGGAAUGAGUUAUCUUCUCUCUGGGCAAGGUGGAGUUCUUCGUUCAUGCAGCAAUCUGGACUUCAAACACUGGUGAACUGGCUUUUAGGCAUUUCCUCAAAAGGGGCAUGUAAAUUAUUCAUCAUUCACAGCAACAUUUGGAAAUUUUACAGAGCUGAAGUGAACAGUUAACUGCAAUAACAGUAAUAAAUCUAUAAGAAGUCUGUUCAAUGGGAUCUUCAGUGGAUUUAUUUCUCUACUGUUUUUGUAUUGGAUAAAUGAAGUAAAUAAUAAGUGAACAAAAUUAGGAUUUGGAGCCCAAAGAAAAGUUCUUUGAAUCUUGCCUGUGAAAUAGGGUGAGAAGAGAUUGAGCCCAGCAUAUCUUGUGAAAUAACCCCUGGAUAACACACAGUAAAUUGAGUAUGAC